rnacentral:rRNA from 1 species
GACGAACGCUGGCGGCGUGCCUAACACAUGCAAGUGGAGCGACGAACCGGGGCUUGCCCCGGGGCAGAGCCGCGAACGGGUGAGUAACACGUGGGUGACCUGCGCCGAUGACUGGGACAACCCGUCGAAAGACGGGCGAAUACAGGAGGUGCCCCCUGGGGGAAAGGAAGCGUCGGCCGCCGCAUCGGGAUGGGCCGGCGGGGCAUUAGCUUGUUGGGGGUGUAAUGGGUUACCAGGGCGGCGAAGCGUAGCAGGGCUGGGAGGACGUUCAGCGACACUGGAACUGAGCCACGGCCCAGACUCCUACGGGAGGCAGCAGUGGCGAAUCUUGCACAAUGCGCGAGAGCGUGAUGCAGCAACGCCGCGUGCGAGACGACGGCCUUACGGUUGUGAACCGCUUUUAGUUGGGACGAGGCUUCGUUCGUGAAUAGCGGUCUGGAGUGACGGUACCUGCAGAAGAAGCGCCGGCUAACUACGUG